GUUGCGCGGAAUCGCUCUCAGCCCUUGCAAAGUCACAGGGCCCUCUGCAGCUCAAUCUGAGAGACCGAGGAGCCGUUGUAACGCCUUCAUCGGGUGCCACCUUUACACCGGUGGGGUAACUGUAGGCUUUCCCCACCCCGCAGUGCGGAUCUCGCCUGAUGAUGUCACAGUCCGGGGGGUGACAAAGGGGAGCAGCCUGGGGCCGCCUGGAGAAGCAGCGCUGUGUGCGCUAUGUGGGCCACACUGCUGUUCUUGGUGCUCCUCCUGCCUCCCACAGCGAUGAUCAGAAAGUUUAUUUUCCCUUUUGGUGAUUUCCUCUCCACUGAGGGAGAUGAAGAGGAGAAGAUUUCUGAGGAAGCAAAGUCACUAGAAUCCAGAUUUGGACCCCAGUAUCAUAACACUGCCCUACAGAGCUACAGUGAGGAACAGCCUUUGAAUGAAUCCAGAUUUGGACCCCAGUAUCAUAACGUUGCCCUACAGAACUACAGCGAGGAGCAGCCUUGUAGUGUCGGUGAACGCUGAUUUGAUCCAAGGGAACACAGCUGAAGAAAUCAAAAAAGAAGAUAUUAAAGACAGUGCAAUUAUUGCUGUGUCAUCUACAGCUCUCGCCAUCUACCUAAUAUUUAUGCUUUCUUUAUGUGUGGUUCUUAGAAGACGCAGAAUACAAAACGGGAAUUCUUGGCAUACCUUUGGAUGCUCACGUGAACAGCAGAAAUCAGCAGAGGCUGGGACGAAUGCACAUGGCUCACAGAGGAGAUCCUCAGACUCAGAAACUGCACCUCUCAUUAACUCAAUUGAUGAGCUACUCACUGCGGUUGCAUCAAAUUCCAGUGAAACCUCCUUGGCUAAAGACUCAAAUUAAAAGUGAAACUGAAUGUAAUCUCAGUGCCAGCCACCAGCAAGCUUUGCGAGAUGGCUUCUGAGUAACUAUGAUUCUGGAAAAAGUGCUUGUGACUCACUGAGUGUGUAACUCAGUAUUUCCUGACUGUAUGGAAUAAACUUUAUGUUCUAAUAG
rnacentral:lncRNA from 7 species